AUUGAACGCUGGCGGCAUGCCUUGCACAUGCAAGUCGAACGGCAGCACGGGAGCAAUCCUGGUGGCGAGUGGCGAACGGGUGAGUAAAGUAUCGGAACGUGCCCAGUCGUGGGGGAUAACGUAGCGAAAGUUACGCUAAUACCGCAUACGAUCUACGGAUGAAAGCGGGGGAUCGCAAGACCUCGCGCGAUUGGAGCGGCUGAUAUCAGAUUAGGUAGUUGGUGGGGUAAAGGCUCACCAAGCCGACGAUCUGUAGCUGGUCUGAGAGGACGACCAGCCACACUGAGACUGAGACACGGCCCAGACUCCUACGGGAGGCAGCAGUGGGGAAUUUUGGACAAUGGGCGCAAGCCUGAUCCAGCCAUGCCGCGUGCAGGAUGAAGGCCUUCGGGUUGUAAACUGCUUUUGUACGGAACGAAAAGGUUUGGCCUAAUAAGCUGGACCCAUGACGGUACCGUAAGAAUAAGCACCGGCUAACUACGUGCCAGCAGCCGCGGUAA
rnacentral:rRNA from 1 species